CAGCAGCCGCGGUAAUUCCAGCUCCAAUAGCGUAUAUUAAAGUUGUUGUGGUUAAAAAGCUCGUAGUUGGAUCUCAACAGCCUUGAAGCGGUUAACUUUGUAGUUUUACUGCUUUAUAGGCUGUGCUUUUGCUGGAGGUUUAGGGGUGCUCUUGAUCGAGUGUCUCUGGAUGCCAGCAGGUUUACUUUGAAAAAAUUAGAGUGCUCAAAGCAGGCUAAAAUGCCUGAAUAUUCGUGCAUGGAAUAAUAGAAUAGGAUGUCGAUCCUAUUUUGUUGGUUUUCGGGACUCGACAUAAUGAUAAAUAGGGACAGUCGGGGGCAUUUGUAUUCAAACGACAGAGGUGAAAUUCUUGGACCGUUUGAAGACAAACUACUGCGAAAGCAUUUGCCAAGAAUGUUUUCAUUAAUCAAGAACGAGAGUUAGAGGUUCGAAGGCGAUUAGAUACCGCCCUAGUUCUAACCAUAAACGAUGCCAGCUAGCGAUCUGCCUGCGUUUUUACUGUAGACUGGGCAGGAAGCUUCCGGGAAACCAAAGCAUUUGGGUUCCAGGGGAAGUAUGGUUGCAAAGCUGAAACUUAAAGGAAUUGACGGAAGGGCACCACCAGGAGUGGAGCCUGUGGCUUAAUUUGACUCAACACGGGAAAUCUCACCAGGCCCGGACACUGGAAGGAUUGACAGAUUGAUAGCUCUUUCUUGAUUCGGUGGGUGGUGGUGCAUGGCCGUUCUUAGUUGGUGGAGUGAUUUGUCUGGUUAAUUCCGAUAACGAACGAGACUCUGUCCUGCUAAAUAGUUUCUACUUCUCUUUUGAGUAGAAAUUUCUUCUUAGAGGGACUGGUGACUCUUAGUCACACGAGAUUGAGCAAUAACAGGUCUGUGAUGCCCAAG
rnacentral:rRNA from 1 species